UACGUAGGGUGCGAGCGUUUGUCCGGAAUUAUUGGGCGUAAAGAGCUCGUAGGCGGUCUGUCGCGUCUGCUGAUGAAAACCCGAGGCUCAACCUCGGGCCUGCAGUGGGUACGGGCAGACUAGAGUGCGGUAGGGGAGAAUGGAAUUCCUGGUGUAGCGGUGGAAUGCGCAGAUAUCAGGAGGAACACCGAUGGCGAAGGCAGUUCUCUGGGGCCGUAACUGACGCUGAGGAGCGAAAGCGUGGGGAGCGAACAGG
rnacentral:rRNA from 1 species